rnacentral:rRNA from 1 species
CCUACGGGGGGCUGCAGUGGGGAAUAUUGGACAAUGGGGGCAACCCUGAUCCAGCCAUGCCGCGUGUGUGAAGAAGGCCCUCGGGUUGUAAAGCACUUUCAGUGAGGAAGAACGCCUGGUGGUUAAUACCCAUCAGGAAAGACAUCACUCACAGAAGAAGCACCGGCUAACUCCGUGCCAGCAGCCGCGGUAAUACGGAGGGUGCGAGCGUUAAUCGGAAUUACUGGGCGUAAAGCGCGCGUAGGUGGCUUGAUAAGCCGGUUGUGAAAGCCCCGGGCUCAACCUGGGAACGGCAUCCGGAACUGUCAAGCUAGAGUGCAGGAGAGGAAGGUAGAAUUCCCGGUGUAGUGGUGAAAUGCGUAGAGAUCGGGAGGAAUACCAGUGGCGAAGGCGGCCUUCUGGACUGACACUGACACUGAGGUGCGAAAGCGUGGGUAGCAAACAGGAUUAGAUACCCCAGUAGUC